rnacentral:rRNA from 1 species
UACGUAGGGUGCGAGCGUUAAUCGGAAUUACUGGGCGUAAAGCGUGCGCAGGCGGUUUUGUAAGCCAGAUGUGAAAUCCCCGGGCUUAACCUGGGAAUGGCAUUUGGGACUGCAAGGCUAGAAUCUGGCAGAGGGGGGUAGAAUUCCUGGUGUAGCAGUGAAAUGCGUAGAUAUCAGGAGGAAUACCGAUGGCGAAGGCAGCCCCCUGGGCUAAGAUUGACGCUCAUGCACGAAAGCGUGGGGAGCAAACAGG